UGAUAUGUUAAAUAGGUACCUCAGCUAGUU
rnacentral:piRNA from 1 species